rnacentral:rRNA from 1 species
GAUAAACGCUGGCGGCGUGCCUAAUACAUGCAAGUCGAUCGCUGGAAACCUAGCUUGCUAGGUGGAAGGAGAGGCGAACGGGUGAGUAACACAUAAGCAACCUGCCUACAAAGACUGGGAUAAUCUCUGGAAACGGGGACUAAGACCGGAUAGGCAAUAGGAUCACAUGAUCUUAUUAUUAAAGGUUAGAAACACUAGUAGAUGGGCUGAUGGUGCAUUAGUUAGUUGGUAAGGUAACGACCUACCAAGACGAUGAUGCAUAGCCGGGCUGGGAGGCUGAACGGCCGCAUUGGGACUGAGACACGGCCCAGACUCCUACGGGAGGCAGCAGUAGGGAAUUUUCGGCAAUGGGGGCAACCCUGACCGAGCAACGCCGCGUGAGUGAUGAAAGUCUUCGGAUUGUAAAGCUCUGUUAUAAGGGAAGAAUGUCCUUGAUAGAAUCGAGGAGUGACGGUACCUUAUCAGAAAGCUACGGCUAACUACGUGCCAGCAGCCGCCGUAA